rnacentral:rRNA from 1 species
AACGAACGCUGGCGGCAUGCCUAACACAUGCAAGUCGAACGAGACCUUCGGGUCUAGUGGCGCACGGGUGCUUAACGCGUGGGAACCUGCCCUUAGGUUCGGAAUAACUCCCCGAAAGGGGUGCUAAUACCGGAUAAUGUCUUCGGACCAAAGAUUUAUCGCCUUUGGAUGGGCCCGCGUUGGAUUAGCUAGUUGGUAGGGUAAAAGCCUACCAAGGCGACGAUCCAUAGCUGGUCUGAGAGGAUGAUCAGCCACACUGGGACUGAGACACGGCCCAGACUCCUACGGGAGGAAGCAGUGGGGAAUAUUGGACAAUGGGCGAAAGCCUGAUACAGCAAUGCCGCGUGAGUGAUGAAGGCCUUAGGGUUGUAAAGCUCUUUUAACCGGGAUGAUAAUGACAGUACCGGGAGAAUAAGCUCCGGCUAACUCCGUG